AAAAACCCAGGUGGUGUGAGAUGGAUCCGCGUCUGAUUAGCCAGUUGGCGGGGUAACGGCCCACCAAAGCGACGAUCAGUAGCCGACCUGAGAGGGUGACCGGCCACAUUGGGACUGAGACACGGCCCAAACUCCUACGGGAGGCAGCAGUGGGGAAUAUUGCACAAUGGGCGCAAGCCUGAUGCAGCGACGCCGCGUGAGUGAAGAAGUAUCUCGGUAUGUAAAGCUCUAUCAGCAGGGAAGAAAAUGACGGUACCUGACUAAGAAGCCCCGGCUAACUACGUGCCAGCAGCCGCGGUAAUACGUAGGGGGCAAGCGUUAUCCGGAUUUACUGGGUGUAAAGGGAGCGUAGACGGCGACGCAAGUCUGGAGUGAAAGCCCGGGGCCCAACCCCGGGACUGCUUUGGAAACUGUGCUGCUGGAGUGCAGGAGAGGUAAGUGGAAUUCCUAGUGUAGCGGUGAAAUGCGUAGAUAUUAGGAGGAACACCAGUGGCGAAGGCGGCUUACUGGACUGUAACUGACGUUGAGGCUCGAAAGCGUGGGGAGCAAACAGGAUUAGAUACCCUGGUAGUCCACGCCGUAAACGAUG
rnacentral:rRNA from 1 species